UUUAAAUAAAUAACAAGAAAUAAAGAAAGUAAAACUAAGAAAAUAAUAAUUUAAUAAAAACUCUAAUUCAAGGAGAAAAAAAUAAUAAUGAUAAAUACUUUGGUUAAAGGAUCAUUCACCACCACCAAACAUGCAUAUAAUAUACCAAUUCUAUCAUCAAUUUCUAUUGAAACUAUUAACCGUAGACAACAAUAAGCUUUGUUAGUCUCAAUCUUUCCUUAGUGUGUCGUUAAGUAAAACAAGCUUUUCACCUAAUCUCUAACCAUUAAAUAAUUUAAAACAAGCUCUUUAAAUUUAAGAUAAUGGAAGCAUUAAGCAGAGAAAGAUAUUAGGUUGAUCUAGGUAAUAAACACACAAGCUCAGAUUAUUUAACUUAGGUUAUGUUCUCCAAUCGAAAUCACUAAUUCCAACCUGCUACUAAUGAUUAAAAUAUCAAGACAAUUACGGAUCAAGAAUUUUAAUUUAGCAAUAGAAUUUAUUCAAGUCCUAUCUAAUUGACCACUCAAAUACGACAAGAAUAAAAUCAUAAACAUUAAUUAUAGAUGAAUCUAAACAAUCUCAAUUAAAUAAAUUGAAUGAUAGAAAUUAAAAAUUAAUUGCAUAGCAUGUUUAAGUUUUAAAUUCACUCUCAACCAAAUAAAAAAUCUAGCCUAACAUAAUUGAAUUGGGAAUAAAAGAGUUAAUAAAACCAGACAUAGAGAUUAAUUCAAACAACUGCCUCCUCUAUUUUUUUCAUAAAGGAAAUCUAUUUUUUUCUUCUCCUUUACGAUUGCUCUCUCUUCAAUUCCUCUUGGCUGCUGAUUGUUGAGUAUGUGUGGAUGUCGAUUCCCUCAAUCAAAAGCCAAAAGUUGGAUUUUAUAAUGCCCAAGAUUGGCCGGAUUUUAUUUCCAAUUUAAAGUAAUUAAUUUGCUUCCUUUAAUUGCCAUGCAGAUGCCAUUUCAAUUCUUUUUUUCCAAUGCAUUGUCCACCAAUUGUUUAGGCAAUUCACAUGCAUGAAAUAUAUAUGGCCCUUUCCUUUUUUGUUCAAUUUGCUUCCCAUAUUAACCAAUGAGCUAGCCAACGCCACUUUAAUGCUUGCACAUGUUAUUACCCUUUAAGAUUCUUGAUUCCAAUUAAAUAAAGCCACCAAAUUGAAUUAAAUUCAGUUCCCUCUUUAAUCUCCACGUGAUGGUCAUAAUCUUCUGAAUAUGCAUGAAUUAAUUUUGUUGGCUUCAAUUUUCUUGGUUUCCAAAAUUUUUUAAUUAUUUCCCUUUUCGAUUCUUUCAAGCAGAU
rnacentral:lncRNA from 1 species